UACAGAGGUCUCAAGCGUUGUUCGGAUUCAUUGGGCGUAAAGGGUGCGUAGGCGGCGCGGUAAGUCGGGUGUGAAAUCUCGGGGCUUAACUCCGAAACUGCAUUCGAUACUGCCGUGCUUGAGGACUGGAGAGGAGACUGGAAUUUACGGUGUAGCGGUGAAAUGCGUAGAUAUCUGGAGGAACACCGGUGGCGAAGGCGGCAUCCUGGACCGGUAUUGACACUGAGGCGGCGAAAGCCAGGGGAGCAAACCGGGG
rnacentral:rRNA from 1 species